UACAGAGACUGCAAGCGUUAUUCGGAUUCACUGGGCGUAAAGGGUGCGCAGGUGGCCAAGUGUGUUAGGCGUGAAAGCCCGGGGCUUAACCCCGGAAUUGCACCUAAAACUACUUGGCUAGAGCAUUGGAGAGGGGAGCAGAAUUCACGGUGUAGCAGUGAAAUGCGUAGAUAUCGUGAGGAAUACCAGAGGCGAAGGCGGCUCCCUGGACAAUUGCUGACACUCAGGCACGAAAGCGUGGGGAGCAAAAGGG
rnacentral:rRNA from 1 species